GAGAAAUGGAGGACAAGAAUAAGGCGCUUGAGACGCAGAAUGGAGAACUUCAGGAAAACAAUCAGGCCCUUGAGAUGCAGAAUGG